rnacentral:tRNA from 1 species
AGGGUUGUAGUUAAUCAUAACAUUUGAAUUGCAAUCAAAAAGUACUAAUAAAUAAUAGUCUUCCUUA